rnacentral:rRNA from 1 species
CUACGGGUCGCUGCAGUGGGGAAUAUUGCACAAUGGAGGAAACUCUGAUGCAGCAACGCCGCGUGGAGGAUGACGCAUUUCGGUGUGUAAACUCCUUUUAUAUGUCAAGAAAAUGACGAUAGCAUAUGAAUAAGCACCGGCUAACUCCGUGCCAGCAGCCGCGGUAAUACGGAGGGUGCAAGCGUUACUCGGAAUCACUGGGCGUAAAGGACGCGUAGGCGGGUUGGAAAGUCAGGUGUGAAAUCCUACAGCGUAACUGUAGAACUGCACUUGAAACUUCUAAUCUAGAGUAUGGGAGGGGGAGAUGGAAUUAGUGGUGUAGGGGUAAAAUCCGUAGAUAUCACUAGGAAUACCUAAAGCGAAGGCGAUCUCCUGGAACAUUACUGACGCUAAGGCGUGAAAGCGUGGGGAGCAAACAGGAUUAGAUACCCCCGUAGUC